rnacentral:tRNA from 1 species
GCCCAGAUGGCUGAGUGGUUAGGCGGUUCAUGGCGGUUCAUGCAAAUGGGUUGUGGACUGACAUGGGUUCAACUCCCAGUUUGGGUG